CACAGAGUAGAUAAGACAUACAGAGACGUAACUGACCGUUGUAAACACUGCGGAAGAUUGCGUUAUCAUGUACCCACUUUUUUUCAGGCGACCGGGCGAAAAAUGAUCAACUGCGCGUGCUCAGCAAGUUUAAAGUGAGUCGCCAUCAGGUCGUCAUCCAAUCAGAUGCAUGCAUCUAGUAACUUGCCGAGCAUGCGCACAAAGAAAGUGGGUACACUAGUUACGUCUCUGUAUGUCUCUACUCUGUGCCUCGACUUUUAGAUACACUCGUCACCAACGAUGGGUGGUCAUCCUCACUGAUCUCAAAAAUAUGGCGGACUGUCA